GUCGAGGGGCGCGGCGGGGUCGAGGGGCGCGGCGGGGUCGGCGUCAGAGAUGGCGCCACAGUGUCAGGGGGCGUGGCGGGUCGGGGAACGGGGCGCCAUCAGGGUGCCCCCUCCGCGGCCCUGCUGAUUUCCUUCCGGCUUUCCCCCCCGGGACAGCGUAGCCUCCGCGCACCCCGCAGGCCCGGGUCAGGCUCCGGGUCGGGGCGGCCCGGCUCCGGGGCAGGUGGGUGGGGUCUCAAGCCUGUGCACUUCGGAGCACCGUUUUUAGGAAGAAAAGGAAAAUAGGUAUGAAGUGAGUGUUGAUCAGAACCAGAGAAGCAGCGCGAGCGGCUGCAAGGCCUACGGAGCUGAUAACUCCCGAUGAACACCAGUAACUCUCGAUGAACCCAAAUAACUUCCGAUGAACCCCAGUAACUCCCGAUGAACCCCAGUAACUACGGAUCAACACCAAUAAUUACCGAUGAACACCAGUAACUCCCCAUCAACACCAAUAACUACCGAUGAACACCAGUAACUCCCCAUCAACACCAAUAACUACCGGUAAAUACCAAUGGACACUGAUAAAUACUGAUGAACACCAGCAAAUACCAAUAAACACCAAUAAUUACCAACAAAUACUGAUGAACACCGAGAAAUACUGAUGAAUGCCAGCAAAUACCAAUGAACACUGAGAAAUGGUGAUGAACGCCAGCAAAUAGCCAUGAACACCGAUAAAUGCUAGUAAAUAUUGAUGAACACCGAUAACCACGGAUGAACACUGAUGAAUACCAGUGAGCACUAACUCCCAGUAAAGACGAUGAACACUGAUAAACACCACAGCGUCAGUCACAUUUCCCUUCUGAUCGUUAACAGUUCAGAGAGGCUGUCAGCCUUGCCUUCUUACUGGCACACACACUCUGAGGGUCACUCUUAGGUUGGGCUGAACCCCAAUGGGCUGCAGGAUUCUAGGUGUCAGAGGGCUCUGUCCUCAGCGGGACCUCAGGGUGCCCCUGGACCUGGGUCACAUCAGCCGCGGCCUCCUGUCAGCUCAGGACAGAGUGGAGGCCACCCUGCGUGGAGCCUCUGAGGAGCUGUGUCCGCAGUGUGUGACCUGGCACCCUCAUUCCCUCUGGGGAGGCCUCGUGGCUCCUGAGGGUUCUGAAGAUGCUCAUGACAGGAGUCUGUCUGUCUGGACAAAAGCCCUGGACUGGCAGUGCUUAGUCUCGGGGCAGACAACACCGGGUAGCAGUUUUCCUGUUAAAAAUGAUCCUUCCACCAUGUUUCCAGAAGCUUCUCUUUUGUCUGCUGUACGUUUCAGUUGGUUGUCUGCACACAGGAUCACAACUUUGAACAGCCCCAUUUUUCAUUAACCAGGGUGGGCGUUGUGUUCAUGGGAACAGGCAUCCUGCAGCACCGCAAGCCACAGCUAGGUCACCAUCACAGCAUCGGUGGUCCGGGCCCACCACCGUGUCCUGCCUGUCUCACCGUGUCCUUCUCUGUGCCUUGCUGUUUAGGGAUGGCCCAGGUCUCACGUCCUUCGUUUGACGCUCAUUUUCAUCAUCCUGUUUUCCUGGGUCUCACGAUUCUUCUCCCAUGUGGUCUUGACCAUUAGUCUUUUCACUUUCCGUCGUGUAUGCUUUUGAUAUUUUGAAGUUUCUACCAAACUUUUUCUUUCAAUUUUCUUUUUUUUUGUUCCUUCCAUAAGAUACUUCCUUCUGGUCGUGUUUGAAUUUUGAUGUGAUCAAUAAUUCUAAAAAGUAUGCGAAGUUAAUCUGAAUUAGAGCAGACACAAGUGCCAUUCAGAUGCAUUUAAAAUUGCC
ensembl:lncRNA